GACGAACGCUGGCGGCGUGCUUAACACAUGCAAGUCGAACGAAGAGCGAUGGAAGCUUGCUUCUAUCAAUCUUAGUGGCGAACGGGUGAGUAACGCGUAAUCAACCUGCCCUUCAGAGGGGGACAACAGUUGGAAACGACUGCUAAUACCGCAUACGAUCUAACCUCGGCAUCGAGGAUAGAUGAAAGGUGGCCUCUACAUGUAAGCUAUCACUGAAGGAGGGGAUUGCGUCUGAUUAGCUAGUUGGAGGGGUAACGGCCCACCAAGGCGAUGAUCAGUAGCCGGUCUGAGAGGAUGAACGGCCACAUUGGGACUGAGACACGGCCCAGACUCCUACGGGAGGCAGCAGUGGGGAAUCUUCCGCAAUGGACGAAAGUCUGACGGAGCAACGCCGCGUGAGUGAUGACGGCCUUCGGGUUGUAAAGCUCUGUUAAUCGGGACGAAAGGCCUUCUUGCGAAUAGUGAGAAGGAUUGACGGUACCG
rnacentral:rRNA from 1 species